UCUACUCUAUUAUUUUCUACUGUGCCAGGUGUUUUCUCGAGUCUUGUGUAUUUCGGCACAGGAGUUUGUGUUUGUUUAUUUAUCUUGUGACCGCUGUGUUAGCGGGGUACCCGUAGUGCAUGCAUGUGUUUUUCUUCGCUUCCGUUGCUCUCAUCUUUGAGUAUGCAUGCCGGGGUGGUUUUUGUCUGGUGUCUCAUUCUUUUCUCCUCCCGUAGGCGCUCCCGUUCGGGUAGUCCGGGUGCUUGGGAUAUCCGGGCGGGGGUGCUUACAAUGUUGGUAUCAGAGCGUAGUUUGAGUCAAUUUUGGGGACGAGUUCCUGUACACCAAAGUUGUCGGAUGUUUAGUGUUGUAUGCAGAUUUUGAGUAUUCCCAAUAAGACCCGAAGGCCUAGAUUCCCAAUGUACCCUUACCCAACUCGGAUGUGCUCUCAGAAUUGCAUUGUUUAUGGUGUCAGUGGGAACAGGAGUUUGCUUCUGGAUGGGGAGGCGGGCAAGACGAAGAGGAGUACCUAGUGAGUUAUGUGUAUCGGCUUGACGAGUUGUCUCAAGAGAUGAUCCACGAGAUCUUUUUGGGGACUGUCAGAGAGACAAGUCAUGUUCGCCCGCGAGCACAUGAAGGACAUGUGGAGGCGACUGACUAAAGUAGUGAUGAAUGAUGGGAGCCUUCGUUCCCAUUAUGAUGUUUUUGCCAGGGCUGUGAGGCAAUAAGAUGCCAUUUGGGAGCCUUACUAGGGAUUGAUACAGAGUGUGCCCAGGAUUGGAACACUACCUGACACUCAGUCAGUUUGAGCCACUGUGAGGGUGUCGUCAUAACCACCGGAGGGACUUGUUGGACUUAGCUUACUUGGCAGAUGAUUUGCCGGGCUAACUCUGAGGUGUUUUCUAAAGAGGUCUGGAGUUCCUUGGUCUCGCUAGGUGUUGUCGACGUCCUAUUAAGGCUAGCGUCAAUGUCAUGAGAGAUGAGGUCAUGGUAGAAUGUGAUCUGGAGGUUCAUGAUUGAAUUUUGCCAGGAGUGGUACGGGAAGGUCCCACAUGGUGGAAAAUGUGCUAUAGAAGUCCAAUGGUUACUAGUAGAUCUGUAGGUACCGAGAUGUGUAUAGGGUGUACUGAGAUGGAAAACUGAAGGUUGGUUAAUGUGGUAGUUGAUGGUUUAAACUGUCUGUACAUAUUCAGACUGGAGAUAUGUAUCGUAAGGAAGUGUGAAGGUAAAUUGAGGUUCUGAGGGGUUUGCAUUUUCUUGGAGGUUUAGGGCAGCAACCCUAAGUUUUAAUCGAAUUUGGAUGGAUAACUCGGAACACUAAUACGAAGUCCCAAGAGAGAUCUGUGAUGAAAAUUCACUGAAAGACUAUUAUGGAAUUGAGGACUUGGCUUUUACAGCAGUUAUGCUGUUUGGAGAUUUGGCAUUACAACCUGGCUAGGGUGUAGGUGUUUAGUUCUCACAGAUGGAGCGGAGUUCAGGUGACGCCGCGAUUGGCGUGGCAAAUGACUAAGGCUGUGAGGUUCUGUAACAAAUAGGGUAAAGUAAAGGUGGUAACAGGUGUUUUAGGCUAUCGUGGUGCAUCCGUGAUAAUGUGAAUUAGAAGUAAGGAAAACCCCUCUACGUUUGGUGUUGUGGGAGAUACCCCGGUGUAUGGCCACGGCCGAAAUUGGAUACAGGUCUAAGUAACUAUUGGGUUCUGCUGCAAGGAUAGUAGUUGCUAUGAGUACGCGCGGUGCUAAUCACGGACCACAUGCCCUAGGGUCGGAUUAUUGACCGAGAGAGGAGAUGAGACUCCUUUGGGUGCUGGUCAAGUGGUACAUCGGCAAAAACAUGAGAUGGUCUAUUAUGCCAGCCAAAAGAAUGCUUAACCCACUUCAGUUACUUUUCGUGGUUGAUGAGACUUAUAAGAUGCCUUGGAGAUUAGAUAGUUACUGACACGGUGAGGUGCUUUCAGCCUAGUAGGCUACAGAGCGGAUAACGUUGGUUUUAAAGCUUAUGUUCUAGCUAGCCUAUUGAGUCUUUGAGGAGUGCCAAUUCCUUUAAGGAGGGGAGAUCUGGUGACAUUUAGAUCUCAAGAUGUAAUGAGUGGAGACUGUAUAUCCCUUGAUAGUCCUGAUUAAAUGGCUACUCAUGUUUAUUAACAGGACCCCGAACGUACGCGGCAAGUUGUGGGAGAAAGUACUGCCGAGAAAAUGAUGUGUAUCUGGUUAAGAAUCAGUUGGCAAAAGUCAGACUAAAGGAUAUUGCUGCUGAAACCUUGAUUGAGGAUGUCGUAUCGUUUCCGUGUUCCAGUGCGUCGUAAGUACGUGGCAGGUUUAGGUCGUGUUAUCGAAUAUUAGCUUCUCGCCAUGUAAGAGGAUGGCCCCACUCCUAUCGUUAUCAGUUGAGUUAUGAGAUAGUAAUAGAAGAACCUUGAUGACGUCUCUUAGGCUGGUUAAGGUAUUAGUGGUCAUAUCGUGGUUCACUUGCGGUGAUGGAUUAGGGAGAUGUGCUAGUGUAUUAAGUCAAGUAGGAUAUGUCGUGGACUUGGACUUGUGAGAAUUGGAAAAUGAUGAUAUGGAAGGUCUCGGAAGAUGUGUUAGGUAAUAUCAUGAGAAUCGUGAGCGUAUCUUGAGGACAUGGACUGAGCGCGAAUUUCGAGGACGAAAUUCUAUUAAGGAGGGGAGAAUUGUAAUAUCCCGAAAAUUUGAGAAAUAAAUAAUGAUUAAUAAUUUUGGCAUUUGAUGUCAUUUUGGAGUAUUAGAGAAAUUAAGAGAAAAUAUUUACUUAUGUUAUUUUGAGAAAAUAAGUAAAUAAGAUAAUUAUUAAUUCUUGCAUUUAUGGAAAUUAUUAAUUUAUUUGGGAAUUUGGAGAUAUAAGAAAAAAUAAAUUAAUUUAAUGGAUUUUUGAAAGUUUUCGGGUGUAAGUGCAAUAAAGGAAAUUGGAGUCUGGGGUGUGUGUGCCAAUAAUGAAAGUUCUGGGGGCUGAAAUGUGAUUUGCCGAAGUGGCCGCAAAUCACCUUAAAUAUAAGUGAAGGCAUUAUAUGGUUAAAGGAGUUGGCUAGCGCGGGCGGUCGCGAGUGCUCGUGUGCUGGGUGAGGUCGCGGGUUCGAGCCCCCUCGGGUGUGCGCGCGCGCUGGAGAAUUUUGGCUGAUUUUUCAGCCAAAAUCCUUGCCCAAAACGGCGUCGUUUUGGGCAAGGCGGUGGCAGCCAUGUGCAGCUGCUGGGCGCGCCACGUGGCGCGCUGUGGGCCGCCCAUUUGCCUCGCGUUAAAGCAGCAUUUUUGCUGCGAUUUUAAGGCCGAUUUCGGCCAAAUUUGAGACAGAACCAGAGGAAGAAAAAUGAAGAAGAAGCAGCGCGCGCGAGGGUCAUUUUUUUAGAGAAAAAUUGAAGAUUAAAUUACGUUUAAUCGUGAUUUAAUUAAUCAGCGUGUAUUAAUUUGGUGAUGUUUAAGCAUGAAAACGCUGUAAUCAGCUUAAGCGAGGCAAGUUCUCCUCUACCCUUGCGAUCUAUUUCCAUUUGGUAGUGGCGGCGUGGGCCAUAGCAAGGGAGUCAGCUUUAACGGCAGAGUCGGUGUGGUGUACAGGCAGUCUCGUCAAUCCCUGUCAACUCUGAUGAUUGUGUAGGGUCUACUCUAUUAUUUUCUACUGUGCCAGGUAGUGGCGGCGUGGGCCAUAGCAAGGGAGUCAGCUUUAACGGCAGAGUCGGUGUGGUGUACAGGCAGUCUCGUCAAUCCCUGUCAACUCUGAUGAUUGUGUAGGGUCUACUCUAUUAUUUUCUACUGUGCCAGGUAGUGGCGGCGUGGGCCAUAGCAAGGGAGUCAGCUUUAACGGCAGAGUCGGUGUGGUGUACAGGCAGUCUCGUCAAUCCCUGUCAACUCUGAUGAUUGUGUAGGGUCUACUCUAUUAUUUUCUACUGUGCCAGGUGUUUUCUCGAGUCUUGUGUAUUUCGGCACAGGAGUUUGUGUUUGUUUAUUUAUCUUGUGACCGCUGUGUUAGCGGGGUACCCGUAGUGCAUGCAUGUGUUUUUCUUCGCUUCCGUUGCUCUCAUCUUUGAGUAUGCAUGCCGGGGUGGUUUUUGUCUGGUGUCUCAUUCUUUUCUCCUCCCGUAGGCGCUCCCGUUCGGGUAGUCCGGGUGCUUGGGAUAUCCGGGCGGGGGUGCUUACAGUAUCUAUGUUGCAUCUGUCAACUAACACCUUAUUUUGUCGAUCGAAUUUUGAAUUUAUACACAAUUCUGUAGAUCGAUUUUUGAAUUUAUACACUAAUGUGUCAAUCGAUGCCUUGCAUCCGUCGACUAUUUUUUGUCUUAGAAUCACCAACGGCUAAUUCUGAAGUGCAUUAAAUACGCCCCAAUUACCUCAAACAAUCAAAAAUUUGAAAGCAUUCACCCACAUUUGUAAAUACUUAGUUGGUGGAGCAUUUAAAGGGUUCGAAGAAUUUAUUUCCAAGCUUCCAAGAGAGUCAAUCAAUAUAUUGUGCUUACAUCUUUUAUUCUCUCAUUUUUG